AUUACGCCGUUGACUUUCUUUUUUCACAUGUUUGACCAUUUAUCUUAUUCAAAAAAUUUACGUAAUUAUAAUUUAUUUUGUUAUGAGUUGUUUUAUCACUCAUAAUAUUUUAAGUGUGAUUUAUAUCUUAUACAUUUGUAUAAAAUUUUUGAAUAAGACGAAUGAUCAAACGUGUGAGAAAAAGUCAACGGCGUCAUCUAUU
rnacentral:pre_miRNA from 1 species